AGCAGCCGCGGUAAUUCCAGCUCCAAUAGCGUAUAUUAAAGUUGCUGCAGUUAAAAAGCUCGUAGUUGAAUUUCGGGACUAAUAUGUCGGUCGUGCCUCGGUACGUACUGGUUUAUUGGUUUCUCCUUUCUGAAGAACCAUGAUGUCAUUUAUUUGGUGUCGUGGGGAAUCAGGACUGUUACUUUGAAAAAAUUAGAGUGUUUAAAGCAGGCUCACGCUUGAAUACAUUAGCAUGGAAUAAUGAAAUAGGACGUUUGAUUCUAUUUUGUUGGUUUCUAGGAUCGACGUAAUGAUUAAUAGGGAUAGUUGGGGGCAUUAGUAUUCAAUUGUCAGAGGUGAAAUUCUUGGAUUUAUUGAAGACUAACUACUGCGAAAGCAUUUGCCAAGGAUGUUUUCAUUAAUCAAGAACGAAAGUUAGGGGAUCGAAGACGAUCAGAUACCGUCGUAGUCUUAACCAUAAACUAUGCCGACUAGGGAUCGGAUGAUGUUAAUUUUUUAAUGACUCAUUCGGCGCCUUAAC
rnacentral:sRNA from 1 species